GGGGCGGAGGAGGCUCUGCCUCUGGGGCAUGCCCACGCCGCGUGCUCCUGGUUCCCUCCUUGCCCUCCACGCAGUGCGUGGGGCUGCAGUGGGUCCUGGAGGAGGAGGGAGGUGGCUCUGGAGGCCGCGUGCUCCCGGCGCCCCUCACGGAGCAGAGCGAGGCAGAGCACGCUUCCUUCUGCGUGUUCCGCACAGUCUUGAGGACCACUAGGGGACGUUGACGCCGUGACUCGAGCAGUGAUCCUCCUGGUAGAGACAGAAAAAGGUGUCUAUCUAACUGUUUGCCUGCUAAUCGGACCCGUGAGCCAGGUGUCACUCAGACUUCGUCACCUCAGCACUCUGCCUCAUCACGGCUGACUCUGCACCGUGGGAUCCACGGUUGGAAGGACCACUGGGCGUCAUCUGCAGGACACAGAGCGGGGACGGCUGCAGGCAGCGCGAGUGUGGACGAGUUGCAGGUCCUUCUGGUUGUGGCAUGUGGGACACCGCCUCAGCGUGGCCUGAUGAGCGGUGCCAUGUCCACGCCCAGGAUCCGAAACAGCGAAACCCUGGGCCACCAAAGCAGGGCGCGCGAACUUAACCGGUGGGCCCAGCCGGCCCUGCGAGCACACUCUUGAUUUCAGCGGCCGACUCUCCCGCAGACACGUGGCAAUGCCAACCCUGGAGGGCCAGGAGGGAGGCAGCUUUGUUUGCUGAUGCCUUGAAAUAAACUGCUUUCGGCCCAGGUCCCGGGGGUGCC
rnacentral:lncRNA from 1 species